GCCCGCUCAGAAACUCAAAGGAAUUGACGGGGCCCGCACAAGCGGUGGAGCAUGUGGUUAAUUCGAUGAUACGCGAGGAACUUACCUGGGCUCAAAUGUAUGUUGACGUAUUCUGAAAGGGAUACUUCUUCGGACAAUAUACAAGGUGCUGCAUGGUUGUCGUCAGCUCGUGCCGUGAGGUGUCGGGUUAAGUCCCAUAACGAGCGCAACCCUAUCAUUAGUUGCCAUCAGGUCAAGCUGGGGACUCUAAUGAAACUGCCUACGCAAGUAGUGAGGAAGGUGGGGAUGACGUCAAAUCAGCACGGCCCUUACGUCCAGGGCUACACACGUGCUACAAUGGCCGGUACAAAGGGCAGCUACCUGGUGACAGGAUGCUAAUCUCAAAAGCCGGUCUCAGUUCGGAUCGGAGUCUGCAACCCGACUCCGUGAAGCUGGAAUCGCUAGUAAUCGCGCAUCAGCCAUGGCGCGGUGAAUACGUUCCCGGGCCUU
rnacentral:rRNA from 1 species